rnacentral:rRNA from 1 species
GACGAACGCUGGCGGCGUGCCUAAUACAUGCAAGUAGAACGCUGAAGGAGGAGCUUGCUUCUCUGGAUGAGUUGCGAACGGGUGAGUAACGCGUAGGUAACCUGCCUGGUAGCGGGGGAUAACUAUUGGAAACGAUAGCUAAUACCGCAUAAUAGUAGAUGUUGCAUGACAUUUGCUUAAAAGGUGCAAUUGCAUCACUACCAGAUGGACCUGCGUUGUAUUAGCUAGUUGGUGAGGUAACGGCUCACCAAGGCGACGAUACAUAGCCGACCUGAGAGGGGGACCGGCACAACGGGGAUAGAGACACGGCCCAGACCCCUCGGGGAGGCAGAGGGAGGGAAUCUUGGGCAAUGGCGGAAGGUCUGACCGAGAAACGCCGCGGGAGUAAAGAGGGUUUUGGGAUAGUAAAGCUCUGUUGAAAGAAAAGAACGAGUGGGGGAGGGAAAAUUCCCCCCUGGAAGGUAAUCUAACAAGAAGGGGAGGCCAAACUCCGUC